CGCCCCGCCCGCCGGGGGCGGCGGGCCCUACGAACCUUUAUAUCUCAACCACUAGAAACCGUCUGAGAAACAAACAAAAUAAUCAAAACUUUCAACAACGGAUCUCUUGGCUCUGGCAUCGAUGAAGAACGCAGCGAAAUGCGAUACGUAAUGUGAAUUGCAGAAUUCAGCGAACCAUCGAAUCUUUGAACGCACAUUGCGCCCGCCAGUAUUCUGGCGGGCAUGCCUGUCCGAGCGUCAUUUCCCCCCUCACGCGCCCCGUUGCGCGCUGGUGUUGGGGCUCCUCCGCCUGGCGGAGGGCCCCGAAAGCGAGUGGCGGGCCCGGCUGGUUGGCUCCGAGCGCAGUACCGAACGCAAGUUCUCCCCUCGCUCAGACGCCCCGCCGGCGCCCUGCCGUCAAAACGCGCAUGACGUGCAACUCUUUUUACAAGGUGACCUCGGAUCA
rnacentral:sRNA from 1 species